GUGAGGAAUAUUGGACAAUGGGCGCAAGCCUGAUCCAGCCAUGCCGCGUGCAGGAAGACGCAUCUAUGGUGUGUAAACUGCUUUUGUACGGGAAGAAACACUCCCUCGUGAGGGAGCUUGACGGUACCGUAAGAAUAAGGAUCGGCUAACUCCGUGCCAGCAGCCGCGGUAAUACGGAGGAUCCAAGCGUUAUCCGGAAUCAUUGGGUUUAAAGGGUCCGUAGGCGGUUUAAUAAGUCAGUGGUGAAAGCCCAUCGCUCAACGAUGGAACGGCCAUUGAUACUGUUAGCCUUGAAUUACAAGGAAGUAACUAGAAUAUGUAGUGUAGCGGUGAAAUGCUUAGAUAUUACAUGGAAUACCAAUUGCGAAGGCAGGUUACUACUUGUGGAUUGACGCUGAUGGACGAAAGCGUGGGGAGCGAACAGGAUUAGAUACCCGGGUAGUCC
rnacentral:rRNA from 1 species